GUUAAACAGGCGGGACGCACGAGGAGUGGCGGUUACUGCUAGGUGAGACCAUUAAGAUGAGGGGUUUAUAUAUUUUUAAUUAUUAUAUUUUUAAUUAAACACAAUGCUUGGACGAUUGAUUGUGAUGGUUUUUUUAACAUGUAUCUUAGGUUAUGUGUGUAACCUGUACAGAGAACAAAUAAAAAACAAGUAAGAAACCAAAAACAUAUUUCUUUGGAGCGGUCCAUAUCAGUUUCUAGCUGCUACCGUUAGACCUGCAGUUAGCCAGCGCCAUUUCCAGUGACUGCUCAUACCCACUCCUGCUUGUGAUUGUCCGCUUGGCCAUGGUGGGAGGCACCAGCUCGACCUGCAUGAUCAGGAGGAUGCUGGCAGCAGCCUUAACAAACGGCCUGGCCUGUAAAUUUAGUUGGGCAGGGAAAGCGUACAAACACAGUGAGGCCAAGCUGCCAUUUAGGGAAACUUGCCUGCAAGACUGCAUGUUUGUUGCUUCUCGGCAGUGUGACAGGAAGCUCACACAGCAGGCCUUCAGUGACAUCGUGAAGAACUGGCUACGUUACGCCCCUUGGCGUGCAGGAGGCUUAAAGAAAAAUUAGAUUGUCCUCUUCAGAUGUGCUAUGGCCCUGCACACAUACAAGCCCACUCACACACAUAGCAUCACCCCCUUGUUCUUCAUGUUUUGUUUGUUGCAUUAAAAAAAAAGAAAAAAAAUCUUAAAAAAUCUAAUAAAUG